rnacentral:rRNA from 1 species
GAUGAACGCUGGCGGCGUGCCUAAUACAUGCAAGUCGAGCGAACAGACGAGGAGCUUGCUCCUCUGACGUUAGCGGCGGACGGGUGAGUAACACGUGGAUAACCUACCUAUCAGACUGGGAUAACUUCGGGAAACCGGAGCUAAUCCCGGAUAAUAUAUUGAACCGCAUGGUUCAAUAGUGAAAGACGGUUUUGCUGUCACUUAUAGAUGGAUCCGCGCCGCAUUAGCUAGUUGGUAAGGUAACGGCUUACCAAGGCAACGAUGCGUAGCCGACCUGAGAGGGUGAUCGGCCACACUGGAACUGAGACACGGUCCAGACUCCUACGGGAGGCAGCAGUAGGGAAUCUUCCGCAAUGGGCGAAAGCCUGACGGAGCAACGCCGCGUGAGUGAUGAAGGUCUUCGGAUCGUAAAACUCUGUUAUUAGGGAAGAACAAAUGUGUAAGUAACUAUGCACGUCUUGACGGUGCCUAAUCAGAAAGCCACGGCUAACUACGUG